GGAAGAACGGGAUUUGCUGGCGGGAGUCGAAUGUACAAAGGCCCUACGAGAGGAGGGACCCCCGACCCCUGACGGUCACGUCCCCCUAUCUCACGGAUGAGAUGCCAGUCCAAUAUGUCAUCUGUGUUUUGCUUCAGCCUGAAUUCUGGGAAGUGUUGCCAUUUCUCUUCCUGAACAUUUGCUUUGAAGAUAAAAAGAGGAUGUUCAUCUCCCCCAAGGACCUCCCCGGGCGUUCCUGCCUGUCAGUCUUGUCCUUGCCUUGGGAAAUUACAUCAGCCAAACAUGAGCUGGACUAACAACCCAUCAGGUGACUGCACUCAAAUGAAGAGAAGCCCAAGGAAAAGUCCUCUGUAGCAUCCUUCUUGCCUUUGAUACCCAGGCAAUGACUUUAGGAAGGUGACUUGUUUUCACUAACACCUCCAGAUGAAUGCAGUCAAUUUUAAAACCAGGCUCACGAUCACUGAGGCAGUAAAAAGCCCCAUGGCCUGGUGACCUGGGCUCUGGGUCUGGCUUCGUCACUGACCAGCUCUGACCUUAGAAAUGUCUUUACUUCCCUGGCCUCUGGGUCUUCAACUGGAAAAUGGGAGAGUUGGGUUGAAGUGCUACUAACGUUUUCAAUUAUAUGUUUACUCUUUCUUUAUUAUAUCUCCAACUGCUCUAUGCUCUAUGUUUGAAAGAAUUUUGACUUCUCAACACAUUGAACUUGUUAAGCAGCAGCCUUUAUUUUAUUUCUCUUUUUUAUUCAUCAAAGCAUACACCAGAG
rnacentral:lncRNA from 1 species